GAAAUAUUCUUAGUCGACUAACUGCAAGAUGGUAAAUAUUUAUUUCUGGGCAAAAAUGCGUUUUUUUUUUUUUUCAAUAUCCUGAUCUAUACAAUGAAGGAUUAGCAGCGAAAUUAAUGAACUGCGGUACUAAUCUAAUUUAAUUUAAGUAAAGGAAAUGCUAAUAUUAUUUCAGUAUUAUCAUUUAUGAUUUUAUAUGACUCAUAGUGAAAGCUUAGUCAUGUAUGAUAUGUAUUUAAGAAAAUUAAUGACGCUGACAUAAUGAAAAUGGACUUGUUUCAAACCCUGCAUUUUUCUAUCAGUUAAUUCGUUUUCAUAGUAACAAAAGGACACUAAUUAACAUGUACACCAACUAAAAACAAGAAAAAAAUAUAAAUAAAACAAAUGUGAAGCAUUACCACGAUAUAUUACAGGACACGAAGAAAGAAGAAUAAGAAAAAAAGAAAAAAAGAAAAUGGAAAUAUUAGCAGCGCAACCAUGAGUGACACAUACGGACACAAUCCACGAGUUACGCCAGAGAUAAUGAGACUUUUGAAGCGAGCAGGUGUGUUGCGCAGGUGCUGAGUGAAACAGUGACAGAAAAUAUUAAUAUGCGAGUGAUACUUAAAUAGUGAUGCCUCAAACACACCGGGGAGAGUGGCAGGAGGAGAGAUGGGGUGGGAAUGGCUGGAAGGAGGGAAGUGAUGGGAGAGAAUGGGCAACGUUCUCUCUCUUCUCCCUCCCUCCCUCUCUCCCUCACCCUUCAUCAUCCUUCUCCCCCCCCCUCAUCUCCUCCUCUCCCCCCCGCCGCCUCCCCCACCGAGCAACACCCCGCCUCCUCCUCUACUCUUCAGCUUGGUAAGUACAAAGUCACAGGUGCAUCGCGGGACAUCGUGGGACAGCGCGGGAGCUCCACCUGGUGUUGUCUGCAGGUACGGAACACCCUUCUUCAGGAAUUACUUAGGAUGUGUCUAAUUUCUUUAUUUUGCCUUACAGGUGUUUAAAUUGUUUACAGGUGUGUGUUUUGCAGGUGUGUGUGUAGUUGUUGUUGUUUUUCUUCAUGUUCUUCUCUCCUCCUCCUCCUCCUCCUCCUCCUCCUCCUCCUCCUCCUCCUCCUCCUCCUCCUCCUCCUCCUCCUUCUUCUUCAGCAGGUUUGGAGCUGUAGGAGCGGACCCUCUUCUUGUUCUCCUCUUCUUCUUUUACUUCCUCCUCCUCCUCCUCCUCCUCCUCCUCCUCCUCC